UUGACGGGUUGUAGCUGGCCUCUCACGAGGCAUGUGCACGCCUGGCUCAUCCACUCUUAACCUCUGUGCACUUUAUGUAAGAGAAAAAAAUGGUGGAAGCUUCCAGGAUCUCGCGAGAGGUCUUUGGUUGAACAAGCCGUUUUUCUUUCUUAUGUUUUACUACAAACGCUUCAGUUAUAGAAUGUCAACUGUGUAUAACACAUUUAUAUACAACUUUCAGCAACGGAUCUCUUGGCUCUCGCAUCGAUGAAGAACGCAGCGAAAUGCGAUAAGUAAUGUGAAUUGCAGAAUUCAGUGAAUCAUCGAAUCUUUGAACGCACCUUGCACUCCUUGGUAUUCCGAGGAGUAUGCCUGUUUGAGUCUCAUGGUAUUCUCAACCCCUAAAUUUUUGUAAUGAAGGUUUAGCGGGCUUGGACUUGGAGGUUGUGUCGGCCCUUGUCGGUCGACUCCUCUGAAAUGCAUUAGCGUGAAUCUUACGGAUCGCCUUCAGUGUGAUAAUUAUCUGCGCUGUGGUGUUGAAGUAUUUAUGGUGUUCAUGCUUCGAACCGUCUCCUUGCCGAGACAAUCAUUUGACAAUCUGAGCUCAAAUCAGGUAGGACUACCCGCUGAACUUAAGCAUAUCAAUAA
rnacentral:rRNA from 1 species